rnacentral:rRNA from 1 species
AUGAACGCUGGCGGCGUGCCUAAUACAUGCCAGUCGAGCGAACAGACGAGGAGCUUGCUCCUCUGACGUUAGCGGCGGACGGGUGAGUAACACGUUGAUAACCUACCUAUAAGACUGGGAUAACUUCGGGAAACCGGAGCUAAUACCGGAUAAUAUAUUGAACCGCAUGGUUCAAUAGUGAAAGACGGUUUUGCUGUCACUUAUAGAUGGAUCCGCGCCGCAUUAGCUAGUUGGUAAGGUAACGGCUUACCAAGGCAACGAUGCGUAGCCGACCUGAGAGGGUGAUCGGCCACACUGGAACUGAGACACGGUCCAGACUCCUACGGGAGGCAGCAGUAGGGAAUCUUCCGCAAUGGGCGAAAGCCUGACGGAGCAACGCCGCGUGAGUGAUGAAGGUCUUCGGAUCGUAAAACUCUGUUAUUAGGGAAGAACAAAUGUGUAAGUAACUAUGCACGUCUUGACGGUACCUAAUCAGAAAGCCACGGCUAACUACGUG